ACCAGUUAACUGCUGGUAAAUGACAAAAACAAGCACCAGAAGGGAAAAGCAUAUUUUACAAUAACUUAAAAUGCACCACAAGGCUGGCGAGUUCCAACUAAACGAACCAUCUGUGUUGUUUUUCUGACGUCGGCAGCUGCAGUCAGACUGUUACGUCCCGGUGUUGGAAUCCUUUUUCAGUGAAAUACAGCCACGCUUUUCACCAUUUAGCUUUCAGCAUUUAAACCAUGUUUAAGCCAAAUACUACCUAACGGUAGGCUAACGUUACCUGCUGUGUAGUGUUAAAUAGCAC